CUCCUCUAACCUCAUCCUUCGGCUCCAUCUCUUUCGAGCACGUCCUCUUCCUAUGUCCUUCGACCUCACUGGUCUUCCACCUCCACCCUCCUUCGACCUCAUCCUCUGGCUCCAUCUCUUCUGAGUUUCUCUUCCUUCUAUCUCCUUCACCGGCCACAACUAUAAUCUCCAUUUAUUCCGUUUAAUUUCUUCUUUUUCUAGCGGUUGUCUGCCAUUCCGUUAACUUUCUCAAAGUUUUGCGUUUGCAUAAGUCGGAUUUCCUCAGCCAUAGAUAUUUCGUCGCCGGCAACUCUGCUUAUUAAUCUCUGCUUCUUCGGUUUAAUUUCUCGCGGUUCAUCGUAGUCCUUAAAUGGAGGCGGAGGAAAUGGGAGGAGGCGGAGAUGGUGAGCACCGGAUGCAAGGAUGAGAGGGAUUGACGGAGAUGGUGAGGGCGUAGGAUUAGGCGUGAGAUGCAGAGAGUGAUUGAGAACACAUGGAGUGUAGGAUGAGAAGCAGAGAGAGAUAAUCAUAAAAUGCACAUGAUAUACACAU